AGUCGACGCAGUAGCAAUACUGAGUGGCAAACGGGUGAGUAUAAUGUGGGAAUCUGCCUUUUGGUUUGGAAUAACACGGGGAAACUUGUGCUAAUACCGAAUAAGCCCUUACGGGGAAAGUUUUAAUGCCGAAAGAUGAGCCCGCACUUGAUUAGCUAGUUGGUAAGGUAAAAGCUUACCAAGGCGACGAUCAAUAGCUGUUCUUAGAGGAAGACCAGCCACAUUGGGACUGAGACACGGCCCAGACUCCUACGGGAGGCAGCAGUGGGGAAUCUUGCACAAUGGGGGAAACCCUGAUGCAGCGAUGCCGCGUGAGUGAAGAAGGCCCUUGGGUUGUAAAACUCUUUCGUCGGGGAAGAAAAUGACUGUACCCGAAUAAGAAGGUCCGGCUAACUUCGUGCCAGCAGCCGCGGUAAU
rnacentral:rRNA from 2 species